GGAGGAAUGGCCGAGUGGUUGAAGGCGGCGGUCUUGAAAACCGUUGUGCGGCAAAACCGCACCGGGGGUUCGAAUCCCUCUUCCUCCG
rnacentral:tRNA from 1 species